UAAAAUCUCAAAUAAUUAAAAACUUUUAUUUUCACAUACAAUCUGUCCCAUAUACGAGCUUACGAGGCCCAAAACAUACAUCCGGAGUGGUUCGGGACCCAACCAAGAACUCAUGAAAAACUUAGAAAAUCUCUUGCAUCAAGGCUUCAUAUGCCCGUGUGGGUAUAGAGCACACGCCCGUGUGCUAGGGACACGCCCGUGUCCCAAACCCGUGUCCAAAAACCUGGACAAAUACAAGGCUAUUUUCCAAGCCAUUUUGUCACACUCACAAUAGAUACACGCAUACUUAUACAAUAACAUACAACAUGACAAAAUUAGGUACUUAAACAUUCCUAACAUGUCAUGAUUAUGGCAAUUUCACAUGCAAUAGAUAUCAUAGAUUUUACUCUCAUCUUUACCACAUUCAUACUAUAAUCAUUAUAAACUCAUCACAUAAUAUCAUAGCACAUGCAUGCAUAAUUAAAAUAGAUUUACAACCCCAUAAUCAAAAUAGGCCAACACAUAUAGUUAAAGCCAUAUCACAUACUCUAAUAUUUAAACUCCUAUACAUGCCAUAGGCUCAAAGUACUUGAAAUCACUACACCAAUAGCGUUAGCUUGAUAGUGUAAUAAUAUCUUUGACGGCCUCCAACCCGAGCUAACCUGGAAACUCUAGAAAACAUGGGAAAGAAGAGGGGGUAAGCUUUCGCUUAGUAAGUUCAUAUGAAAACAAUAAGCACCCAUUUACUUGUUUUAUCAAUGUUUACAACAUAUUCUCAAGUUCAAUACAAGCUGUCUUUCUGAGCAACGGUCACUAAAUUAUUUAUAUCUGGAGCUACGAAACUCCAAAUUAAGUUCUGUUAAUUUUCCCUGAAACUAGACUUAUUUUCAUUUCUUCCAUAAAAUUUUCAGAAUUUUUGGUUAAGCCAAAUAGUACAGUUUAUUCCUCAAAGUUACCCCUGAUUCACUGUCUAACAGUUCUGACCCUUCUGUACUAAAGUUCAAUUAUCUCAUAGUACAAGACUCGAAUAAUGUUCUUGUCUAUUUAUCUUGAAACUAGACUCAUAUGUCUACUUACUAAUUUUUUUAUAAAAUUUUUGGUUGGGCCAAUUAGUACGGUUUAUUAGUUAAAGUCUCCCCUGUUUCAGGGUAUGACCCCUAUGCACUACAAACCAAAUUUAUCCCUGUAAAAAAUUCCAAAUACCAUGGUGUUUAUUUCCCCUAAAAAUAGACUCAAUAAGGAAUCCAUGCAUGUAAGGUAUGACUCUUAAUAAUUUUUGUACAAUUUUUGGUGAAUUUCUAAACUCAAGACAGGGGAUCUCGAAUUCACUCAGACCCUGUUUAAAAAGAAUUCAUAUAUCACACAAUAUGGAAUUCUUUUUCUUCCCCUGUUUCUUUCAUGUGAAAAUAGACUCAUGAAGCUUUAAUCCCAUAUUUUAUUCUGCCUCUAACUCAUUUUCCACUAUUUUUAGUGUAUUUUCAAAGUUACACUACUGCAGUAACUCAAAUCUGUCAAGGCUAAAUUACUCAUUCAUGAUCAUUGUUCACAAAAUUAAUACAACAUCGUUUGUAUAAUCAUCACCGAGACAUUCAUAUCACAUUUUCAUUUACCAUCUUACCAUAUUGUUGUUAUGUCGAGUUUUUAACCCGAGGGUUAAGUACAUUCCUGUUCAAAGUAUCCAUUUCACAACAUUUACCAAUACGUCCCUUUCAUCUCGAGUAUUCCUCCAUUUGAGUAGAAUUUUACCCGUUGAACACAUCGGAAUAUAAUUCGGAUACAUGGAAAGUUUGCACAUAAGUGCCACAUAUGUAGCCAAGCUACCAUGUAACCCGCCCAUAAGUGAACUCGGACUCAACUCAACGAGCUCGGGCCUUCUCAUCCAUAAGUGAACUCGGACUCAACUCAACGAGCUCAGAUGCCUAGUUACAUCUCACGAACUCGGACUCAACUCAACGAGUUCGAACAUUCGCAUCCAUAAGUGAACUCGGACUCAACUCAAUGAGUUCGGAUGCUCAACCAUCCUAGUGACAUGUCACUUGUAUCCUAAUCUAUUCCUAAGGUUCAAACGGGAUUUUCCUCGAACACAUCUCCUUGCCAUCUUCCGUAAAAUACCGAAACCAAUACUCGGUAGCACUUUAUAUUUAACAGAUAAUACACAUAACUUGCAUUUUAUUCGAAAAUAACCACAAAGCAUAUAUUUCAUGAUAGAAACCAGCAUAUCAUAUAUUUAACAUCAAUAACUUUAAAAUAACAAUUAUGCUACAUUAUUUACACAUGAACUUACCUCGAUACCACAAAGGUGAAAAAAAAGACGUAAUUAUCCCUUAAUCGAUUUCUUUCCGUUCUAGGUCCAAAUCUCGAUUUUCAUCAUCUAAAAUAUCACAUUCAACUUAUUAAAACAAUGUACUGAUCAAAUUAGUCCAUUGACACACUUGGGAAAUUUUUACAAUUUUUCCCCUAUAUUUUUCCAAAAUUACCAAAUUACCCCUAGGCUCGUAAAAUAAUUUUUAUCACAUUUCUUUACUCCUUGAGUCUAGAUGAACCAUUUUCAUAACUAUAGCAACUCAUAAUUUCAACUAUUUCACACAUUUACAACUCAUUUUACAACUUAGCAAUCUAGCCCUUUUUAAGGUGUUUUCAUGCAAUUUCUUUCACAAAAGUUGUUUAUUAGACAACUAGGACUCAUAAUCUUCCAUAAAAACACAGAAAACAACACAUUUACUCUCAUGGCAAAACCCUAGACUCUUCAUCAUUUUGCAAAAUAGACCCCUCAUAUGAAAGCUCAUGCUUUAGGGGUUCCAAAAAUGUAAAAAUCAUCAAGCAAAGACAUUAAAAUCACUUACAAGCAAGGGAAAUAUGUUGCUGAAAUUUUCCAGCUUCAAAUCCCUUUCUUUGCUGCAUAUUUCAGUGAAGGAGAAGAGAAAAAUGAUAGCUUUUUCUUUUUGAUUUGUUAAUAAUAAAACUAGUCAAAAUUAGUGACCAAAUUUCACCUAAUUUUGACUUUUCAACAAUUUUGUCUCCCAUGGCCGGCAAUCACACUUUCAAUGGCCUAAUUUCACUUUAAAUACCCCCAAUUUAAGAUACAAGGCAAUUUAACACCUUUAGGUAUUAAAACAUAACUUUUACCUUUUACGCGAUUUAGUCCUUUUUCGAAAUUAGACUAGAAAUUGCUAAAAUUAACUUACCAAAAUUUACAUGCACUUAUAAAAUUAUAUUAUAACUCAUAAAAUAAUACUAAAAUAAUUUUAUCUGGCCUCGAAAUAGUGGUCCCGAAACCACUGUUCCGACUAGGCCCAAAAUCGGGCUGUUACACCGUCAGAGAUAUUAUCACACUGUCAAGCUAACGCUAUUGGUGUAGUGAUUUCAAGUACUUUGAGCCUAUGGCAUGUAUAGGAGUUUAAAUAUUAGAGUAUGUGAUAUGGCUUUAACCAUAUGUGUUGGCCUAUUUUGAUUAUGGGGCUGUAAAUCUAUUUUAAUUAUGCAUGCAUGUGUUAUGGUAUUAUGUGAUGAGUUUAUAAUGAUUAUAGUAUGAAUGUGGUAAAGAUGUGAGUAAAAUCUAUGAUAUCUAUUGCAUGUGAAAUUGCCAUAAUCAUGACAUGUUAGGAAUGUUUAAGUACCUAAUUUUGCCAUGUUGUAUGUUAUUGUAUAAGUAUGCGUGUAUCUAUUGUGAGUGUGACAAAAUAGCUUGGAAAAUAGCCUUGUAUUUGUCCAGGUUUUUGGACACGGGUUUGGGACACGGGCGUGUCCCUAGCACACGGGCAUGUGCUCUAUACCCAC
rnacentral:lncRNA from 1 species